UUCAGUAACUUGACUCAUGAUUUCUUACCUAUUAGUGGUUGAACAGCAUCGGACUCAGAUAGUAAUCCACGCUCUUUUAAAAUGUCAACAAGAGAAUCUCUACCAUGAACAAAAUGUGACUCAUAUCUAAACCAGUCCUUGACGAACGUGCCAAGCAUAUUAAGCCACUUCUCCUCAUCCAACGCGUCAGUUUUUGACAGAAUCGUUAGUUGAUGGCGAAAGGUCGCAAAGUAAGAGCUUCUCGAGCUGCGCAAGGAUAGGUCGAAUUUUCUCAUUUUCCGCCAGCAGUCCACUUCGAUUUAAUUCGUAAACUAGCAGUAGUAAUUCCUGCUUUAUCAAGAUAAUUUUUCGACUCAUCAGAAAUAUCCGAAA
rnacentral:rRNA from 1 species